GGAUCGGGCGGUUCCCCCUUCGGGGGGACAGGGUGACAGGUGGUGCAUGGUUGUCGUCAGCUCGUGUCGUGAGAUGUUGGGUUAAGUCCCGCAACGAGCGCAACCCUCGACCUUAGUUGCCAGCAUUCAGUUGGGCACUCUAAGGUGACUGCCGGCUAAAAGUCGGAGGAAGGUGGGGAUGACGUCAAAUCAUCAUGCCCCUUAUGACCUGGGCUACACACGUGCUACAAUGGGCGGUACAAAGGGUCGCGAACCCGCGAGGGGGAGCCAAUCCCAAAAAGCCGCUCUCAGUUCGGAUUGCAGGCUGCAACUCGCCUGCAUGAAGCCGGAAUCGCUAGUAAUCGCGGAUCAGCAUGCCGCGGUGAAUACGUUCCCGGGCCUU
rnacentral:rRNA from 1 species